CGAGGAGUUCGAGAUUUUCAGCUUUUUUAUAGAUUCGAUUUCAAUUCAUAGUCCCAUCACCUGCGUGAUAAAUUUUACAAGGCAAACUCGAUUAAACAUUGUGUAAUAUAUCAAUCAAACAAUGAGAUUUCGAGUAGGUUGAUUGAUCUUUCUCUCAGUAUCCAUUGGCAUUCGAUUGGAAAAGUUUGCGUGCUAUUGUAAAUCCCAUUGUAUAAAAUCAUGAAUGAAUUAACAGUCUAGUGAAAAUUUUGCACAAUUGGACCAAACUACAAUUCCAACUACUCAAGGCAAUAUUAUAACGGACCAAUCCAGUGUUUAUCGUUUCAUUUUGAUCAAUUGUAAAUCUCUAAUUAAUCAGCUAGUCUUGUUUUAGUGCGAUCGUUAGUUAAUGAAAAAGUCAGAGUAACAUAUCAACGUAAAUAACUGUAUCACAUACGCGUUGGUAAUUUAACAAACCACUCAAGUUUAUAUCCGGAAACCUGGUCCCAAACUCAAUCCAAUCUGGAUGCUGCAAUAUGGCUACAACUUUACUGUUUACACCACUAGAGCGACCAUAGCACGCGAUGAGUUCACCUUAAUUUUGAUUUUGACGAGCUCUACCUCAACUAUAUAAAGUGGAAAAUAGUGCCCGAAGUCGAUAAAAAUUAAGAUAAUGUUAAAAAAAAUACUAACUUUGAAAUUUCUCCCUUAAAAUAAAUAUACCCCUCCAAGGUACUAAACUAUCGAAAA